rfam:Fukomys damarensis contig96973, whole genome shotgun sequence.
ACUUAGGAUCCUUUAGGAUCCACCCACAGAUACAUCUUGUUAAAAU